CUGGAUGCCCAGGCAAGAUACACAGAUAUCCCAACCUUGGAUAUUUUCUUAUGGUAAUGGAAAAAAAGACUAAUAUAGUUAGAAUUCAUGCUUUCAGAUGCAAAAGUAAAGAGACCACCACAUCUUAUCUUUAUUUUGAAAAAUGCUUUAGGAAAAACUGACCAAAGAAGUUGCAAGCAUGCCACAUAACUAACUUAAAGAAGAGAAACAGAUGCCAUUUAUUUUCUUUUAUGUGUCACAUACAAUGUGUUAGACCAGUUUUCUGAAGCUUUGUUCUAUGUCAUAAACACAGAAGGGAUCAGUAACUUGCAAAACACUGUCUCUUCUUCCACUCUCAGAAAUCCUGCUCCAGGAGGUCUGAGGCCUGAGAACCUGCCUUUCUGACACCUUCCCAGGGAAGCUGGGGCUGCAGCAGUCCCCCUUAGAUUGUGAAGCAUCUCCAGCCUUCCGCAGAUCAGCAAACUCCAAGAAAGCUUGUGGACUCUCCUAACUCCAGGAAAGCUUGUGGACAGCCUGUCCAUGGUGGAGUUUGGCCAGAAGGCCACUCCUCCCAGUUUUGGCAUAAUGGAAAUGUUAACAGACCCCAUCGCCCACUCUUCACUCUGCAGAGCAGAAGCACCAGGGCAGCCACUGCCAUUUUAUUACCAUCUCUUGACAUUCCAAGCCAGCCGCUGCAUGAAGGAAGAGCAGUUAGCCAGUGUUCAAGUUCCAGGUCUGGAACAGAGAACAACUGAGUGUGGUCUGACAAAAAAACACUGCGAGAAAGGAUUAUGGCAGCUUUCCUUGACUCCCACUCUUCCUGACUUGUUAGAAUUAAUCUUCUUAGAUCAGAUGCAACAUUUUGGAAGAGUAUAAUAUAAAUGCAUGUCAUGUAAAGAGGCAGUCUAAAUAUACAGCCAGGGAGUUCAAAAAAUUUUGCAAAAACACAAAAAAAUUGCAAGGGUAUGUCAGAGAGUUUUUGAAUUAAAAACAUGUGAAUUUUGAGCACUUAUCA